rnacentral:rRNA from 1 species
UGGGGAAUAUUGGACAAUGGGGGCAACCCUGAUCCAGCAAUGCCGCGUGUGUGAAGAAGGCCUGAGGGUUGUAAAGCACUUUAGGCGAGGAGGAUGGUAGACUAGGUUAAGAGCUAGGUUUACUGACGUUACUCGCAGAAUAAGCACCGGCUAACUCCGUGCCAGCAGCCGCGGUAAUACGGAGGGUGCAAGCGUUAAUCGGAAUUACUGGGCGUAAAGAGUGCGUAGGCGGUUGGGUAAGUUAUCUGUGAAAUCCCUGGGCUUAACCUAGGUGGGAAAGAUAAGACUGCUUAACUAGAGUGUGGUAGAGGAUAGUGGAAUUUCCGGUGUAGCGGUGAAAUGCGUAGAGAUCGGAAGGAACACCAGUGGCGAAGGCGGCUAUCUGGACCAACACUGACGCUGAGGCACGAAAGCGUGGGGAGCAAACAGG